AAUUGCCGAUCCAUGAGUUCCUAACCUCUGAGUGGUCAUUUAACUUUAACGAUCAAUAUUUCGCUUCGCGGGAGAGACCGACGCUUAUUUCUGCUAGAUUCUUUUGCUUCGAGCAAAAACGCGCCGAUUGAGCCUAAAUUGAUUAAAAUCGGUGCUGAGCUCUCAUUCAACUUAAUCUGCAAGAAAUCUAUUUUUAUUUUUAAAAGCUCAUAAAAGAUAUUAUUGACAUAAUGCUGCUAACGUUGCUAAUAAAGAUUGAAAAAGACAUACAUCGUAACAACAUUUUUCCUCUUCGUCACAUUCAUGAUCACUAUCACAGUAUUUAGGCGGCUUGUACCAGUCAUAAGUCCUAGGACAAGAGAUCCUCAAGGGCGGGCAAUGCUUCUUCGGUUUCCAUUUCAUCAUGGGUUCGUGCCAAGGUUGCUCACUAUGCGGUUCUGCGGUGAUGCCAAACCAGAACCAGGGGAAAAGCACGAUGGCCUAUGAUUCAACAGACUAGCAGCUUCUCAUAUAACGUGUCUUAUACAAGAGGAAGGAACACGCCCCUACCUAAGGAGGGUUGUAAAUCGUUCAACACCUCCAAUAUGUCAAUCAUCGACACGAGCAAGCGAGGCACGUUUGUUCGUACUCGAUUUCACAUGUCAACUUUGUCUCGUUUCUGAUGGCUACUGGGAAAAACAUAGAGAAAUGUCAGAAACGAAGGACAUGUCACAUACGCAUAUUAGAAUGACCAGGGCCGAAUCUACGAAGCCAACAAAACAAUGUCAAGUCUUAA